rnacentral:rRNA from 1 species
UACGAAGGGGGCUAGCGUUGCUCGGAAUCACUGGGCGUAAAGGGUGCGUAGGCGGGUCUUUAAGUCAGGGGUGAAAUCCUGGAGCUCAACUCCAGAACUGCCUUUGAUACUGAGACUUGAGUUCGGGAGAGGUGAGUGGAACUGCGAGUGUAGAGGUGAAAUUCGUAGAUAUUCGCAAGAACACCAGUGGCGAAGGCGGCUCACUGGCCCGGUACUGACGCUGAGGUGCGAAAGCGUGGGGAGCAAACAGG